AGUGAACGCUGGCGGUAGGCCUAACACAUGCAAGUCGAACGGCAGCACAGUAAGAGCUUGCUCUUACGGGUGGCGAGUGGCGGACGGGUGAGGAAUACAUCGGAAUCUACUUUUUCGUGGGGGAUAACGUAGGGAAACUUACGCUAAUACCGCAUACGACCUACGGGUGAAAGCAGGGGAUCUUCGUACCUUGCGCGAUUGAAUGAGCCGAUGUCGGAUUAGCUAGUUGGCGGGGUAAAGGCCCACCAAGGCGACGAUCCGUAGCUGGUCUGAGAGGAUGAUCAGCCACACUGGAACUGAGACACGGUCCAGACUCCUACGGGAGGCAGCAGUGGGGAAUAUUGGACAAUGGGCGCAAGCCUGAUCCAGACAUACCGCGUGGGUGAAGAAGGCCUUCGGGUUGUAAAGCCCUUUUGUUGGGAAAGAAAAGCAGCAGGUUAAUACCCCGCUGUUCUGACGGUACCCAAAGAAUAAGCACCGGCUAACUUCGUG
rnacentral:rRNA from 1 species